rnacentral:rRNA from 1 species
GACGAACCGUGCGAACGUUGUUCGGAAUCACUGGGCUUAAAGGGCGCGUAGGCGGGCUGUCAAGUCUGGGGUGAAAUGCUGCGGCUCAACCGUAGAACUGCCUUAGAUACUGACGGCCUCGAGGGAGGUAGGGGCAUGCGGAACUGUAGGUGGAGCGGUGAAAUGCGUUGAUAUCUACAGGAACUCCGGUGGCGAAAGCGGCGUGCUGGACCGCUUCUGACGCUGAGGCGCGAAAGCUAGGGGAGCAAACGGG